rnacentral:rRNA from 1 species
GACGAACGCUGGCGGCAUGCCUAAUACAUGCAAGUCGAGCGGACUUGAUGAGAAGCUUGCUUCUCAGAUAGUUAGCGGCGGACGGGUGAGUAACACGUAGGCAACCUGCCCUCAAGCUUGGGACAACUACCGGAAACGGUAGCUAAUACCGAAUACUUGUUUUCUUCGCCUGAAGGAAACUGGAAAGACGGAGUAAUCUGUCACUUGGGGAUGGGCCCGCGGCGCAUUAGCUAGUUGGUGGGGUAACGGAUCACCAAGGCGACGAUGCGUCGCCGACCUGAGAGGGUGAUCGGCCACACUGGGACUGAGACACGGCCCAGACUCCUACGGGAGGCAGCAGUAGGGAACCUUCCGCAAUGGGCGAAAGCCUGACGGAGCAAUGCCGCGUGAGUGAUGAAGGUUUUCGGAUCGUAAAGCUCUGUUGCCAGGGAAGAACGCUUGGGAGAGUAACUGCUCCCAAGGUGACGGUACCUGAGAAGAAAGCCCCGGCUAACUACGUGCCAGCAGCCGCCGUAA